AGGGUUAUAAUUAAUUAUAAUAUUUGGUUUGCAACCAGAAAGUACUCACUAGAUGAGUUAACCUUU
rnacentral:tRNA from 1 species